GACGAACGCUGGUGGCGUGCUUAACACAUGCAAGUCGAACGGGAUUUAGUAAACAGAAGCCUCGGUGGAAGAUUACUAAUGAGAGUGGCGAACGGGUGAGUAACGCGUGAGCAACCUGCCUAUGACAGUGGGAUAGCCUCGGGAAACCGGGAUUAAUACCGCAUAAAAUCGUAGAAACACAUGUUUUAACGGUCAAAGAUUUAUCGGUCAUAGAUGGGCUCGCGUCUGAUUAGCUAGUUGGGGAGAUAACAGCCCACCAAGGCGACGAUCAGUAGCCGGUCUGAGAGGAUGAACGGCCACAUUGGAACUGAGACACGGUCCAAACUCCUACGGGAGGCAGCAGUGGGGAAUAUUGCACAAUGGGGGAAACCCUGAUGCAGCGACGCCGCGUGAACGAAGAAGGUAUUCGUAUCGUAAAGUUCUGUCCUAUGGGAAGAUAAUGACAUUACCAUAGAAGAAAGCUCCGGCUAAAUACGUG
rnacentral:rRNA from 1 species